rnacentral:rRNA from 1 species
GACGAACGCUGGCGGCGUGCCUAAUACAUGCAAGUUGAGCGCUGAAGGUUGGUACUUGUACCAACUGGAUGAGCAGCGAACGGGUGAGUAACGCGUGGGGAAUCUGCCUUUGAGCGGGGGACAACAUUUGGAAACGAAUGCUAAUACCGCAUAAAAACUUUAAACACAAGUUUUAAGUUUGAAAGAUGCAAUUGCAUCACUCAAAGAUGAUCCCGCGUUGUAUUAGCUAGUUGGUGAGGUAAAGGCUCACCAAGGCGAUGAUACAUAACCGACCUGAGAGGGUGAUCGGCCACAUUGGGACUGAGACACGGCCCAAACUCCUACGGGAGGCAGCAGUAGGGAAUCUUCGGCAAUGGACGAAAGUCUGACCGAGCAACGCCGCGUGAGUGAAGAAGGUUUUCGGAUCGUAAAACUCUGUUGGUAGAGAAGAACGUUGGUGAGAGUGGAAAGCUCAUCAAGUGACGGUAACUACCCAGAAAGGGACGGCUAACUACGU